CAAAAUAGGGAAAUUAUGGAAUUUUAUCAUUAUUAUGGUAAAAGCUAUCAUUAAAUUCACAAUAGUGAAUUUUUUCAAAGUUAGGUGAUGAAAGUGAAAUUGUAUUGAAUUCGCACCUGAAUUGCAAUUAAUAAAUGGUGAGAAUUUUGAAAUUAUGCUGGGUCACUUUAUAGAAGAAAUACAUUUGAGAAUCAUUAGUAAAAUUUCUACGGGUUCACCCCUCCCCCAUCUCUCUCUCUCUCUCUUAGUUUUAUACUCUUGUCACGCAACUACAUCGCCGGCGAUCACCAGAAUCAAUGUGUCGCCAUCACGCAAGAUUCUGGUGAUUCCGAUGAUGUGGUUGUGAGCGGGCAAGCGAUGAGGUCCCCUUCACUGUUCUCUCGUCUCGUCUCCCUCUCAGAUCCGGCGAGCUCUGUCUCCGGCCACCGCCGCCGCCUAAUCUCCCUAGCUCGAACUCUGUCCUCUCUUGACAAUCCUCCUGUGUUCUCUCUCUAAUCACGAAAAAUCCCCAAAUUUCAGUAACCACCACCAUCUUCCUCCUCCCCUGCUUCGGCCAACAAUCGCACCCUUUCCCUCCUCCUUAUGCCGCCUUCAACACAAAAACAUCUUCUUUUGCUGGUUUGAGGAUAGUUUCUUUGCCCUGGAUUGGACAUGAAUAAUUCAUUUUAUAAUUUAUGCCCCUGAUCUUGUGAUAUUGUUUUCUUAACUUGACUGCAUUUGGUGCAGUCCAGUUUUCAAGAGAGGAAGAGAGGGGUGGCUUAAAAUGUUGACUUAUUCUAGGUUUGUCCUAUCUCAAUUCUGCUUUUCUGUAUUCCUGGCCAUUUUUUAUUCCCUCUUCCGUUAAGACAUAGAAUCGGGGCUUGAUUUUUUGCGUUUGCAGGGAUACUGUUUGAUUGCAAAGGAUCAGAUGUUGCGGAAUGAGACAUGAACUUGCCAAAAUAUGUGCCUCUGGUUUGGCCCAAAGUCUUGAUUUUGAGUCUAUGAGCUUCCACUGCUGAUUACAACGAUUGUCUCUCCAUUUUAUUUGUUUCUCAGAUCGCUCAUCACUAUGUUUAGGCCUUCUUGAUUUGCUAUUUUUUUUUUUGCUGUCUUGAGUAUAGAUUUUGUCAUGAUGUAAUAUAAUGCAUGUGCUAUACUUAACAAAUGUAUUUACAGAGUGAUACUUGGAAAAAUUUAAAUCAUUUUUCAAUCAGUUUUAUUUGUGAGAUUACACAAUUCAAUUUUAUGCAAGUGUGGCCUAUACAAACGUGAAUUUAUGGAUUUUGGUGGAAUUUUUAGGUCACAUAUGUGUAUUU
rnacentral:lncRNA from 1 species